UACGGGGGGGCAAGCGUUUGUUCGGAAUUACUGGGCGUAAAGGGCUCGUAGGCGGCCAACUAAGUCGGACGUGAAAUCCCCAGGCUCAACCUGGGAACUGCGUCCGAUACUGGAUGGCUUGAAUUCGGGAGAGGGAUGCAGAAUUCCAGGUGUAGCGGUGAAAUGCGUAGAUAUCUGGAGGAAUACCGGUGGCGAAGGCGGCAUCCUGGACCGACAUUGACGCUGAUGAGCGAAAGCUAGGGGAGCAAACGGGAUUAAGAUAC
rnacentral:rRNA from 1 species